rnacentral:misc_RNA from 1 species
AAUUCAAACAAUCUCCUGACUUAAGAAUCAAUGCAGACAACUGUUUCUUUAUUUCCAGACAUUGUCUACCGGUGCAACAAGGUAUGAGAUUAACUCUCUACAAAAUACAAACACAAGAAAACAACCACGUCUGCAAUACCACAGAGCUUUACCAACGAGGAUGCUACAUUGUGACCAACACAGGAUGAAUCUCAGUACCUAUGGGCCUGCUUCUCCUUCUCCUCAUACCACUGGACAUAACUGUAGGUGCCGACGAGGGGUCCGAGGAGGAGGCCGGCGCUGAUCCAGUUCUCCGCGAUCUUGUGGUGGAUCUUGCCCGUCAGGUCCUUCCACAGCCCCGGCAUCACCUUCUGCUGGAACGGCGACAAAGCGUACACCACGGCCUUCAUCCUCACUGGCGUCUUCCCCAUCUCCGAUCGCCGCCGAUGAUCGUCUCAGUCGCUCUGGUUGUCAGAUCUCGU